rnacentral:rRNA from 1 species
AUGAAAACCAAUCCUGAACACUGGAGCAGAGCUUUUUUCAAACUUGGAUCAUAUUGUGAUUCUAUGGAAAACAAUAUGUGUGAGUCCUUUAACAACUUCAUCAUGAGAGCAAGGUUUUAUCCUGUGAUUACUUGUCAUGAGAUCAUAAGGAAGAAGGUCAUGGCUAGAAUUCAAGAAAACAGAGCAAAGCCUGAGAAGUGGAGUGGAAAAAUAUGCCCUAAUAUUUUCAAAAAGUUGCAGCUUAACAUAAAGAGAUCAGGAAGAUGA